rnacentral:tRNA from 2 species
CGAAGUAUAGCAUAUAUAAUGCUUUUUACUUACACUAAAAUUAAGACACCUGUCUAUUUCGC